UGGUACCAGUACGGUAGGAAAAUCCGCCGUGCAAUGGGAAGACGUGAUGUGGAGUGAAAUAUAGUAACGAAGCCCGUGAGCCAUGCGUCAAGAAAAGCCGCUAUUGUUUAUACUGUACCCGUACCGUAAACCGACACAGGUGGAUGAGGAGAGAAUCCUAAGGCCGGCGGAAGAAGUAUUGCCAAGGAACUCGGCAAAAUGGCCCCGUAACUUAGGGAGAAGGGGUGCCUGCGAGAGCAGGCCGCAGAGAAUGGGCUCAAGCAACUGUUUAGCAAAAACACAGGUCUAUGCGAAACCGAAAGGUGAGGUAUAUGGGCUGACGCCUGCCCGGUGCUGGAAGGUUAAGAGGAGAGGUUAGACGCAAGUCGAAGCUUUGAAUUUAAGCCCCAGUAAACGGCGGCCGUAACAAUAACGGUCCUAAGGUAGCGAAAUUCCUUGUCGGGUAAGUUCCGACCCGCACGAAAGGCGUAAUGAUUUGAGCGCCGUCUCGGCAAUACAUCCGGUGAAAUUGAAGUGCCAGUGAAGAUGCUGGCUACCCGCGCCAGGACGGAAAGACCCCAUGGAGCUUUACUCCAGUUUGGCACUGGGGUCCGGUGUUGCAUGUACAGGAUAGGUGGGAGGCUGAGAGAUAAUGACGUCAGUUGCUAUGGAGCCGCUGUUGGGAUACCACCCUUGUGAUAUUGGGCUUCUAACCAGCCGCCGUAAACCGGCGGUGGGACAAUGCCAGGCGGGGAGUUUGACUGGGGCGGUCGCCUCCGAAAGGGUAUCGGAGGCGCCCAAAGGUUCCCUCAGAAUGGACGGAAACCAUUCGAAGAGUGCAAAGGCAGAAGGGAGCUUGACUGCGACACCGACGGGUGGAGCAGGCACGAAAGUAGGGCUUAGUGAUCCGGUGGUAUUAAGUGGGAAUGCCAUCGCUCAACGGAUAAAAGCUACCCUGGAUAACAGGCUUAUCACUCCCAAGAGUUCACAUCGACGGAGUGGUUUGGCACCUCGAUGUCGGCUCAUCGCAUCCUGGGGCUGUAGUAGGUCCCAAGGGUUGGGCUGUUCGCCCAUUAAAGCGGUACGCGAGCUGGGUUCAGAACGUCGUGAGACAGUUCGGUCCCUAUCCGGCGUGGGCGCAGGAUAUCUGAGAGGAGCUGUCCUUAGUACGAGAGGACCGGGAUGGACGGACCGCUGGUGGACCGGUUGGCUUGCCAAAGCCAUGGCCGGGUAGUCAAGUCCGGAAGGGAUAAACGCUGAAGGCAUCUAAGCGUGAAGCCCCCCUCAAGAUGAGAUAUCCCAUUCUUUAAGAAGUAAACCCCCUUGUAGACGACGAGGUAGAUAGGGCAGAGGUGGAAGUGUGGUAACACAUGGAGCUGACUGUUACUAAUCGGGUGAGGGCUUGACCGG
rnacentral:rRNA from 1 species